CACAUCUAUGAACUUAUCGCUUCUUCUUUGUUCUUGUUGCCUAUUCGACAUUCACACCCAUUUCUCACAAACCUCUCUCUCUCUCUCUCUCUCUCUCUCUCUCUCUCUCUCUCUCUCUCUCUCUCUCUCUCUCUCUCUCACACUUAUUCCUCUUCACCGCCACACCCUCGCCUCUAGCAAAGCAAAACAGAGACACCACCGCCUCCGUCAGUGAAGCACAGUCUCUCGCGUCGGAUCUCUGACCCGUGGUUUGAUCAUCCAUCCUCCUUUCCAACUUCAACCCCGCAUGCCUCCGGUCUCAGCCCGACGAAGACGAAGAUGGAGACAAAGGCAGAGAAAUACCAUCCUCCAUCUGAAUGAGAAAUAGAGGGGAAUGAGAAUAUUACUCCGAUUGGCUCAAAGAUCACAGUAAUUUCAACUUCGUGCCUUGUUUUUUAUGUAUUUGUUUAUCAUAACCAAUGUUUCAUUUGUUUGCUUAGGAAAGCCUAAUGGGUUUUUUAUUUUAGACAUGAGUGCAAGAGUUGGUGAUGGCUUUCAAAGAAAAAUACAAAUGUUUUAGCAAAUGGGAGAUCACAUAUAUGUUAAUUA